rnacentral:misc_RNA from 1 species
GAUGAAGAACGUAGUGAAAUGCGAUAAGUAAUGUGAAUUGCAGAAUUCAGUGAAUCAUCGAAUCUUUGAACGCACCUUGCGCUCCUUGGUAUUCCGAGGAGCAUGCCUGUUUGAGUGCCAUGAAAUUCUCAACCUUUUCAGCUUUCUUUGUUGAUCAGGCUUGGAUGUGGGAGUAUGCGGGCUUCUCAGAAGUCGGCUCUCCUGAAAUGCAUUAGCGGGACCUUUGUUGCCUGGCUUUGGUGUGAUAAUUAUCUACGCCAUUGUGGUCAAGCAGCUUAAAAUGAGGUUUCAGCUUCUAACCGUCUCCCCUGAGACAACUUUUUGACAAUUUGACCUCAAAUCAGGUAGGACUACCCGCUGAACUUAAGCAUAUCAAUAAGCGGAGGA